UACAGGGGGUGCGAGCGUUGUCCGGAAUUAUUGGGCGUAAAGAGCUCGUAGGCGGUUUGUCGCGUCUGCUGUGAAAACCUAAGGCUCAACCUUGGGCUUGCAGUGGGUACGGGCAGACUAGAGUGCGGUAGGGGUGACUGGAAUUCCUGGUGUAGCGGUGGAAUGCGCAGAUAUCAGGAGGAACACCGAUGGCGAAGGCAGGUCACUGGGCCGCAACUGACGCUGAGGAGCGAAAGCAUGGGGAGCGAACAGG
rnacentral:rRNA from 1 species